CAGUAGCCACGGUAAUACAGAGGGUGCGAGCGUUAAUCGGAUUUACUGGGCGUAAAGCGUGCGUAGGCGGCUAAUUGAGUCGGAUGUGAAAUCCCCGAGCUUAACUUGGGAAUUGCAUUCGAUACUGGUUAGCUAGAGUGUGGGAGAGGAUGGUAGAAUUCCAGGUGUAGCGGUGAAAUGCGUAGAGAUCUGGAGGAAUACCGAUGGCGAAGGCAGCCAUCUGGCCUAACACUGACGCUGAGGUACGAAAGCAUGGGGAGCAAACAGGAUUAGAGACCCGAGUAGUCCCUGUCUCUUAUAC
rnacentral:rRNA from 1 species